rnacentral:rRNA from 1 species
UACGUAGGGGGCAAGCGUUGUCCGGAAUCAUUGGGCGUAAAGGGCGCGUAGGCGGCUUAACAAGUCACUUGUGAAAUCUCCGGGCUUAACUCGGAACGGCCAAGUGAAACUGUCAAGCUAGAGUGCAGAAGGGGCAAUCGGAAUUCUUGGUGUAGCGGUGAAAUGCGUAGAUAUCAAGAGGAACACCUGAGGUGAAGACAGGUUGCUGGGCUGACACUGACGCUGAGGCGCGAAAGCCAGGGGAGCAAACGGG